CCUAAUCCUUCUCCUUUCAGACAAAGAGUUAAUUUUGACCAAGCUAGAGGCUCUUUAUUCUGUAGAUACUGCAAAAAAUCUGGUCACUUAAUUGAUAAGUGUUAUAAGAUUCAUGGGUAUCCACAAAGUACAACAUUUAACAAGGGGAGGAGACUUGCUGCUGCUCAUCUAACUGCUGGUGUGGAUUUCCCUUCUUCUGAAGGACAUGUGUCUGUUCCCCAAGGGAAUCCUCCUGAAAGCCAUCAUUCUGUUCCAAACAUGGAUGGCCAGAGUUCUGUGAUACCAGGGUUGAGCAGACAACAGUAGGACCAAUUGAUGAGCUUGUUACAACAGACCCAGUUAGGGGACUACACUGCUCAGACUCCUCCUCCCAUGUAUGCUGCUAAUUUUGCUGGUACUAUGCUAACUGAGAGCCUUACUUCUGAUUCCAAGCUUUGCAUGCUUACCCAUAUUAACUCUGCCACCUGGAUAAUAGACUCAGGGGGAUCUAAUCACAUGACAUAUGAUAAAAGUUUACUCUUCAACAUAACACCUUUAACUGUACCCUACCUUGUCACUCUCCCUAAUGGAUAUAAAGUGAAAGUGACAUGCACAUGAUCCUUUGCAUUAAAUUCAACCAUCACUCUUCAAAAUGUCUUGUUAGUUCCUUCUUUGAAACACAACUUGAUUUCUGUCCACAAGUUAGUGAAACAGUUGCAUUGCAUAGUUUUGUUCACUAUCUUCCCCUUCUGCCUCUACUGGUUCCUCUACUGCUUGUUCAUCUUUUUUUGUACUCUAAAUUUGACUCUUGUAAUCUUGACAAUUCUUCUUUUACUGGUUGCCAUAAAGAUGUUGCUUUACCUUCUACUGCUUGUUCAUCUUCUUUUGUAUACUCUAAAUCUACUCUUGUAAUCUUGACAAUUCUUCUUUUACUGGUUGCCAUACAGAUGUUGCUUUACCUUCCAAUGUAAAUAGUCUGCUAUGUAAUAAUGUUGCUGCAACUGACAUGAAUUACAUCUGGCAUUUAAGACUUGCUCAUACUUCAUUUUCAACUAUGAAACACAUUUCUGGAUUACCUUUUCCCUUAGCCUCUAAGCAGUUUUUCCCUUGUUCUAUAUGUCAUAUGGCUAAACAGACUAGACUACCUUUUCCUGAUAGCACAAUAACUACUUCUAGACCUUUCCAACUGAUUCAUGUGGACACUUGGGGCCCCUAUCACACUCCUACUUCUUCUGGUUGUAGAUAUUUUCUUAUAAUUAUUGAUGAUUUCUCUAGGUCUACCUGGACACAUUUACUGGGAUCUAAAAGCAUUGCCUUCUGCCUGCUUAAAUCAUUUCUGUGUAUGGUUAAAACUCAGUUUAAUGUUGUGGUUCAAAUUGUUAGAAGUGAUAAUGCUUUGGAACUAGGGUCUAGCAUUGAGG
rnacentral:lncRNA from 1 species